AGGACGAACGCUGGCGGCGUGCUUAACACAUGCAAGUCGAGCGGAAAGGCCCUUCGGGGUACUCGAGCGGCGAACGGGUGAGUAACACGUGAGCAACCUGCCCUUAGCUCUGGGAUAGCUCCGGGAAACCGGAAUUAAUACCGGAUAUGACCUAGGCCGACAUCGGCCGUGGUGGAAAGUUUUUCGGCUAGGGAUGGACUCGCGGCCUAUCAGCUAGUUGGUGGGGUAAUGGCCUACCAAGGCGACGACGGGUAGCCGGCCUGAGAGGGCGACCGGCCACACUGGGACUGAGACACGGCCCAGACUCCUACGGGAGGCAGCAGUGGGGAAUCUUGCGCAAUGGGCGAAAGCCUGACGCAGCGACGCCGCGUGGGGGAUGAAGGCCUUCGGGUUGUAACCCCUUUCAGCAGGGACGAAGCGAAAGUGACGGUACCUGCAGAAGAAGCGCCGGCUAACUACGUGCCAGCAGCCGC
rnacentral:rRNA from 1 species